UGAGGGCGGGGCGGCGGCGCGCUCACUAGAAGGCGGAGGCGCUUGGCGCGCGGACUGGAGAGAGAACUCCGCGCUGGCCCUGCUGGAGGGUGAUCGAGACGCCGCCGCCGCCGCCUCCACGCCGCAGCCCCUCCUCGCCCCCGCAGGUUUGAACAGCGUCCUGGGCUGCUGGGGGACCCUGGACUGCCCCCUGGGAGGCUCCUCUGAGUCCCAGGCCAAGCUCAGGGCACCCCAGAGGAGCAGCAGAGAUGAGGCUUUUGAAACAAAGCGGAGCAUUGAGGAAGCAGAAGCACAGUGCAAAGGGGUUUUAAUCACUCAAGGAUACAUCUAAAACAACAUGAUGCCCCCAGAAAGCAGAAGAUCCUUUCAGAUUCAAAUGUACUAUGAUUCAAGCUUACCAUAUAUGGCCAUUAUAAAAUAAAAUGGCUAAUGUUUAAAAUGAAA